AGAGAGAUAUACAGAGAGAGAUAUACAGAGAGAGAUAUACAGAGAGAUAUACAGAGAGAUACAUACAGAGAGAGAGAUGUACAGAGAGAUAUACAGAGAGAGAUGUACAGAGAGAGAUAUACAGAGAGAGAUAUACAGAGAGAGAUGUACAGAGAGAUGUACAGAGAGAUGUACAGAGAGAGAUACAGAGAGAGAUGUACAGAGAGAGAGAUACAGAGAGAGAUGUACAGAGAGAGAUACAGAGAGAGAUACAGAGAGAGAGAUACAGAGAGAGAUGUACAGAGAGAUGUACAGAGAGAGAUACAGAGAGAGAUACAUACAGAGAGAGAGAUGUACAGAGAGAUAUACAGAGAGAGAUACAGAGAGAGAGAGAGAGAGAGAGAGAGAGAGAGAGA
ensembl:lncRNA